AAUGAACGCUGGCGGCAUGCCUAACACAUGCAAGUCGAACGAGACCUUCGGGUCUAGUGGCGCACGGGUGCGUAACGCGUGGGAAUCUGCCCUUGGGUUCGGAAUAACAGUUAGAAAUGACUGCUAAUACCGGAUGAUGACUUCGGUCCAAAGAUUUAUCGCCCAAGGAUGAGCCCGCGUAGGAUUAGCUAGUUGGUGGGGUAAAGGCCUACCAAGGCGACAAUCCUUAGCUGGUCUGAGAGGAUGAUCAGCCACACUGGGACUGAGACACGGCCCAGACUCCUGCGGGAGGCAGCAGUAGCGAAUAUUGGACAAUGGGCGAAAGCCUGAUCCAGCAAUGCCGCGUGAGUGAUGAAGGCCUUAGGGUUUUAAAGCUCGUUUACCCGGGGUGAUAAUGACAGUAACGGGAGAAUAAGCUCCGGCUAACUUCGUGCCAGCAGCCGCAGUAACAC
rnacentral:rRNA from 1 species